rfam:Pan troglodytes isolate Yerkes chimp pedigree #C0471 (Clint) chromosome 19, whole genome shotgun sequence.
GCCAGGCAUGGUGGUGCGUGCCUGUAAUCCCAGCUGCUCGGGAGGCUGAGGCAGGAGAAUCACUUGAAUCUGGGAGACGGAGGUUGCAGUGAGCCAAGAUUGCGCCACUGCAGUCCAGCCUAGGUGACAGAGUGAGACUAUGUCUCAA